rnacentral:piRNA from 1 species
UGUGUGCCGACCUCAGACGUUC